AGCGAACGCUGGCGGCAGGCUUAACACAUGCAAGUCGAGCGGGCACUUUCGGGUGUCAGCGGCGGACGGGUGAGUAACGCGUGGGAACGUGCCCUCUGGUUCGGAAUAACUCAGGGAAACUUGAGCUAAUACCGGAUACGCCCUUUUGGGGAAAGGCUUGCUGCCGGAGGAUCGGCCCGCGUCUGAUUAGCUAGUUGGUGAGGUAACGGCUCACCAAGGCGCCGAUCAGUAGCUGGUCUGAGAGGAUGAUCAGCCACACUGGGACUGAGACACGGCCCAGACUCCUACGGGAGGCAGCAGUGGGGAAUAUUGGACAAUGGGCGCAAGCCUGAUCCAGCCAUGCCGCGUGAGUGAUGAAGGCCUUAGGGUUGUAAAGCUCUUUUAUCCGGGACGAUAAUGACGGUACCGGAGGAAUAAGCCCCGGCUAACUUCGUG
rnacentral:rRNA from 1 species